rnacentral:rRNA from 1 species
GACGAACGCUGGCGGCGUGCUUAACACAUGCAAGUCGAACGAUGAAGCCGGAGCUUGCUCUGGUGAAUUAGUGGCGAACGGGUGAGUAACACGUGAGUAACCUGCCCUUGACUCUGGGAUAACUGCUAGAAAUGGUAGCUAAUACCGGAUACGACCCUCGGAGGCAUCUUCAGGGGGUGGAAAGAAUUUCGGUCAAGGAUGGACUCGCGGCCUAUCAGCUAGUUGGUGAGGUAAUGGCUCACCAAGGCGACGACGGGUAGCCGGCCUGAGAGGGUGACCGGCCAGACGGGGACUGAGACACGGCCCAGACUCCUACGGGAGGCAGCAGUGGGGGAUAUUGCACAAUGGGCGCAAGCCUGAUGCAGCAACGCCGCGUGAGGGAUGACGGCCUUCGGGUUGUAAACCUCUUUUAGUAGGGAAGAAGCGAAAGUGACGGUACCUGCAGAAAAAGCACCGGCUAACUACGUGCCAGCCGCCGCCGUAA